GACAUAAAGCCAUUAGGAGCAACUUCAGAUAGUUGGGAUAUCUGAAUUGUUUGGGAUGCAUACUCCAUGUCCUGGGGGUUUUGUGCUACAUUACAUGUUGUGGUUACCUGAGUGCAUAAAGUAACACGCAUUACCAACACGUAACAGAAGAUAACAAUAUUUGUUAUUAAACACGGUCAUAAAAAUCCAUACCAACAAAACCGAGACCUUCAAACCAUGGAAACAUCCCUCGUACAACAACAAUAUUCAUAACACAACAUUCAUAAACACAAUCAUAUGUCAUCCAACCUGCAC
rnacentral:lncRNA from 1 species